CAGGACUCGUUCGAGGCCCUGUAAUUGGAAUGAGUACACUUUAAAAGCUUUAACGAGUAUCCAUUGGAGGGCAAGUCUGGUGCCAGCAGCCGCGGUAAUUCCAGCUCCAAAAGUAUAUAUUUAAGUUGUUGCGGUUAAAAAGCUCGUAGUUGGAUUUUGGGCGCAGGCGGCCGGUCCGUCGCAAGGCGUGUACUGGACGUCCUGGCCUUCCCUCCGGUUCUCCGCCGGUGCUCUUGACUGAGUGUCGGCGGCGGCCGGAACGUUUACUUUGAAAAAAUUAGAGUGUUCAAAGCAGGCUCUCGAGCCUGGAUAAUGGUGCAUGGAAUAGUGGAAUAGGACCUCGGUUCUAUUUUGUUGGUUUUCGGAGCGCGAGGUAAUGAUUAAGAGGGACAGACGGGGGCAUUCGUACUGUGCCGUUAGAGGUGAAAUUCUUGGAUCGGCGCAAGACGAACGACUGCGAAAGCAUUUGCCAAGAAUGUUUUCUUUAAUCAAGAGCGAAAGUCAGAGGUUCGAAGACGAUCAGAUACCGUCCUAGUUCUGACUAUAAACGAUGCCAACUAGCGAUCGGGGGGCGUUACAUUGACGACCCCUCCGGCAGCUUACGGGAAACCAAAGUCUUUGGGUUCCGGGGGAAGUAUGGUUGCAAAGCUGAAACUUAAAGGAAUUGACGGAAGGGCACCACCAGGAGUGGAGCCUGCGGCUUAAUUUGACUCAACACGGGAAAUCUCACCCGGCCCGGACACAGUGAGGAUUGACAGAUUGAGAGCUCUUUCUUGAUUCUGUGGGGUGGUGGUGCAUGGCCGUUCUUAGUUGGUGGAA
rnacentral:ncRNA from 1 species